rnacentral:piRNA from 1 species
AACAGAGUGAAUGACUUUGCCUGCCU